rnacentral:rRNA from 1 species
AUUGAACGCUGGCGGCAGGCCUAACACAUGCAAGUCGAGCGGAUGAAGGGAGCUUGCUCCUGGAUUCAGCGGCGGACGGGUGAGUAAUGCCUAGGAAUCUGCCUGGUAGUGGGGGAUAACGUCCGGAAACGGGCGCUAAUACCGCAUACGUCCUGAGGGAGAAAGUGGGGGAUCUUCGGACCUCACGCCAUCAGAUGAGCCUAGGUCGGAUUAGCUAGUUGGUGGGGUAAAGGCCUACCAAGGCGACGAUCCGUAACUGGUCUGAGAGGAUGAUCAGUCACACUGGAACUGAGACACGGUCCAGACUCCUACGGGAGGCAGCAGUGGGGAAUAUUGGACAAUGGGCGAAAGCCUGAUCCAGCCAUGCCGCGUGUGUGAAGAAGGUCUUUGGAUUGUAAAGCACUUUAAGUUGGGAGGAAGGGCAGUAAGUUAAUACCUUGCUGUUUUGACGUUACCAACAGAAUAAGCACCGGCUAACUUCGUG